GACGAACGCUGGCGGCGUGCUUAACACAUGCAAGUCGUACGGUAAGGCCCUUUCGGGGGUACACGAGUGGCGAACGGGUGAGUAACACGUGAGUAACCUGCCCACAACUUUGGGAUAACGCUAGGAAACUGGUGCUAAUACUGGAUAUGUGCUCCUGCUGCAUGGUGGGGGUUGGAAAGCUCCGGCGGUUGUGGAUGGACUCGCGGCCUAUCAGCUUGUUGGUGGGGUAGUGGCCUACCAAGGCGGCGACGGGUAGCCGGCCUGAGAGGGUGACCGGCCACAUUGGGACUGAGAUACGGCCCAGACUCCUACGGGAGGCAGCAGUGUGGAAUAUUGCACAAUGGGCGCAAGCCUGAUGCAGCAACGCCGCGUGCGGGAUGACGGCCUUCGGGUUGUAAACCGCUUUCAGCAGGGACGAAGCUUUUUGUGACGGUACCUGCAGAAGAAGCACCGGCUAACUACGUG
rnacentral:rRNA from 1 species